CCUACGGGAGGCAGCAGUGGGGAAUAUUGUGCAAUGGGCGAAAGCCUGACGCAGCGACGCCGCGUGAGGGAUGAAGGUCUUCGGAUCGUAAACCUCUGUCAGCAGGGAAGAACGGUCACUGUGCUAAUCAGCAGUGAAUUGACGGUACCUGCAACGGAAGCACCGGCUAACUCCGUGCCAGCAGCCGCGGUAAGACGGAGGGUGCGAGCGUUAAUCGGAGGUACUGGGCGUAAAGCGCUCGUAGGCGGUAUGUCAAGUCAAGGGUGAAAGCCCCGGGCUCAACGUGGGAACUGCCUUUGAAACUGGGAAGCUGGAGUGUGUGAGAGGAUAGUGGAAUUCCAGGUGUAGGAGUGAAAUCCGUAGAUAUCUGGAGGAACAUCAGUGGCGAAGGCGACUAUCUGGCACAUAACUGACGCUGAGGAGCGAAAGCGUGGGUAGCAAACAGGAUUAGAUACCCCGGUAGUC
rnacentral:rRNA from 1 species